CCUACGGGAGGCUGCAGUGGGGGAUAUUGCACAAUGGGGGGAACCCUGAUGCAGCGACGCCGCGUGGGUGAAGAAGCGCCUCGGCGCGUAAAGCCCUGUCACCAGGGAAGAAAAUGACGGUACCUGAAGAAGAAGCCCCGGCUAACUACGUGCCAGCAGCCGCGGUAAUACGUAGGGGGCAAGCGUUAUCCGGAUUUACUGGGUGGAAAGGGGGCGCAGACGGCGAUGCAAGCAAGGAGUGAAAGCCCGGGGCCCAACCCCGGGACUGCUCUUGGAACUGCGUGGCUGGAGUGCAGGAGGGGCAGGCGGAAUUCCUGGUGUAGCGGUGAAAUGCGUAGAUAUCAGGAGGAACACCGGUGGCGAAGGCGGCCUGCUGGACUGCAACUGACGUUGAGGCCCGAAAGCGUGGGGAGCAAACAGGAUUAGAUACCCUUGUAGUC
rnacentral:rRNA from 1 species